rnacentral:rRNA from 1 species
UACAGGGGGUGCGAGCGUUAUUCGGAGUUACUGGGCGUAAAGCGCACGUAGGUGGUUCAGCAAGUCUGGUGUGAAAUCCCCGGACUCAAUUCGGGAAGUGCAUUGGAUACUGCUGGACUAGAGUGUAGGAGGGGAGAGCGGAAUACCUGGUGUAGAGGUGAAAUUCGUAGAUAUCAGGUGGAACACCAGUGGCGAAGGCGGCUUUCUGGACGAUUACUGACGCUGAGACGCGAAAGCGUGGGGAGCAAACAGG